CACAGAUUCUCCCGGACCCACGUGGAAGCGGCACUCAAGAUGGUAGGAGAAUGAGCUCCUGUUUGGGAGCUGCGCCGCGAGGCCCGCCUGCGCCGCGAGUACCUGUACCGCAAGGCCCGGGAGGAGGCGCAGCGCUCAGCCCAGGAGAGGAAGGAGCGGCUGCGGCGCGCGCUGGAAGAAAACCGCCUGAUUCCCACUGAAUUACGCCGAGAGGCUCUGGCCUUACAGGGGUCCCUGGAGUUUGAUGAUGCCGGAGGUGAAGGUGUGACCAGCCACGUGGAUGAUGAAUACCGAUGGGCAGGAGUCGAGGAUCCCAAGGUUAUGAUCACUACCUCCCGGGACCCCAGUUCCCGCCUCAAGAUGUUUGCAAAGGUACUGGUGAGCAGGGAGUGAGGGAGAGACACACCCAGGACACACAGCCCCAGUCCUGACUAUACACUGCCAUCCACGCCCAGGAGCUGAAGCUGGUGUUCCCGGGCGCCCAGCGAAUGAACCGAGGUCGACAUGAAGUGGGGGCACUGGUGCGAGCCUGCAAAGCCAACGGCGUCACCGAUCUGCUGGUCGUUCACGAGCAUCGGGGCACACCUGGUGAGGCCGGAGGGAGGGAGUCGGGGUGGGAACCGUCUGAGGGCAGACGGGGUCUCUGACAGCCACCUUUCCCCGCCAGUGGGGCUCAUCGUCAGCCACCUGCCCUUUGGCCCUACUGCCUACUUCACGCUGUGCAACGUGGUCAUGCGGCAUGACAUCCCAGACCUGGGCACCAUGUCGGAGGCCAAGCCCCACCUCAUCACACACGGCUUCUCCUCCCGCCUGGGCAAGCGGGUCUCUGACAUCCUCCGAUACCUAUUUCCCGUGCC
rnacentral:sRNA from 1 species